rnacentral:rRNA from 1 species
GACGAACGCUGGCGGCGUGCUUAACACAUGCAAGUCGAACGAAGUGGCGAACGGGUGAGUAAUACGUGAGUAACCUGCCCUCCUUUUUGGGAUAAGCCUUGGAAACGGGGUCUAAUACCGGAUAAAGGGGGAUGGGCUCGCGGCCUAUCAGCUUGUUGGUGGGGUGAUGGCCUACCAAGGCGGUGACGGGUAGCCGGCCUGAGAGGGUGACCGGCCACAUUGGGACUGAGCGCCGGCCCAGACUCCUACGGGGGGCAGCAGUGGGGGAUAUUGCACAAUGUGCGAAAGCGUGAUGCAGCGACGCCGCGUGGGGGAUGAAGGUUUUCGAAUCGUAAAGCUCUGUCCGGUACCAUAGGAGGAAGCCCCGGCUAACUACGUGCCAGCAGCCGCGGUAAUUC